rnacentral:ncRNA from 1 species
AUGAGCACAAUACGAUGAAAGUUGUAAGCUGUGUUUGGAGGAAAGUUAUUGUCUAUUGUUGGCUUCUAUGGUAGAAUUAGUCGAGGGCCUAAGAAAUGGUGGUUUACCCUGU